rnacentral:rRNA from 1 species
GACGAACGCUGGCGGCGUGCCUAAUACAUGCAAGUCGAGCGGACAGAUGGGAGCUUGCUCCCUGAUGUUAGCGGCGGACGGGUGAGUAACACGUGGGUAACCUGCCUGUAAGACUGGGAUAACUCCGGGAAACCGGGGCUAAUACCGGACGGUUGUUUGAACCGCAUGGUUCAAACAUAAAAGGUGGCUUCGGCUACCACUUACAGAUGGACCCGCGGCGCAUUAGCUAGUUGGUGAGGUAACGGCUCACCAAGGCAACGAUGCGUAGCCGACCUGAGAGGGUGAUCGGCCACACUGGGACUGAGACACGGCCCAGACUCCUACGGGAGGCAGCAGUAGGGAAUCUUCCGCAAUGGACGAAAGUCUGACGGAGCAACGCCGCGUGAGUGAUGAAGGUUUUCGGAUCGUAAAGCUCUGUUGUUAGGGAAGAACAAGUACCGU